ACUCCUACGGGAGGCAGCAGUGGGGAAUUUUGGACAAUGGGCGAAAGCCUGAUCCAGCAAUGCCGCGUGCAGGAUGAAGGCCUUCGGGUUGUAAACUGCUUUUGUACGGAACGAAAAAGCUCCUUCUAAUACAGGGGGCCCAUGACGGUACCGUAAGAAUAAGCACCGGCUAACUACGUGCCAGCAGCCGCGGUAAUACGUAGGGUGCGAGCGUUAAUCGGAAUUACUGGGCGUAAAGCGUGCGCAGGCGGUUAUGUAAGACAGAUGUGAAAUCCCCGGGCUCAACCUGGGAACUGCAUUUGUGACUGCAUGGCUAGAGUACGGUAGAGGGGGAUGGAAUUCCGCGUGUAGCAGUGAAAUGCGUAGAUAUGCGGAGGAACACCGAUGGCGAAGGCAAUCCCCUGGACCUGUACUGACGCUCAUGCACGAAAGCGUGGGGAGCAAACAGGAUUAGAAACCCUGGUAGUCCCA
rnacentral:rRNA from 1 species